UACGUAGGCACCAAGCGUUGUCCGGAUUUAUUGGGCGUAAAGAGCUCGUAGGCGGUUCAGUAAGUCAGGUGUGAAAACUUUGGGCUUAACCCAAAGCGUGCAUUUGAUACUGCUGUGACUUGAGUUCGGUAGGGGAGUGGGGAAUUCCUAGUGUAGCGGUGAAAUGCGCAGAUAUUAGGAGGAACACCGGUGGCGAAGGCGCCACUCUGGGCCGAAACUGACGCUGAGGAGCGAAAGCGUGGGUAGCAAACAGG
rnacentral:rRNA from 1 species